rnacentral:tRNA from 1 species
AUUCUUUUAGUAUAAAAAGUAUAUUUAACUUCCAAUUAAAAGGUUUAAAUUUUAAAAAAAAGAAUA